AGAGUUUGAUCAUGGCUCAGGACGAACGCUGGCGGCACGCUUAACACAUGCAAGUCGAACGAGAGAAGAGGAGCUUGCUUUUCUGAUCUAGUGGCGGACGGGUGAGUAACACGUGAGCAAUCUGCCUUUCAGAGGGGGAUACCGAUUGGAAACGAUCGUUAAUACCGCAUAACAUAAUUGAACCGCAUGAUUUGAUUAUCAAAGAUUUAUCGCUGAAAGAUGAGCUCGCGUCUGAUUAGCUAGUUGGUAAGGUAACGGCUUACCAAGGCGACGAUCAGUAGCCGGACUGAGAGGUUGAUCGGCCACAUUGGGACUGAGACACGGCCCAGACUCCUACGGGAGGCAGCAGUGGGGAAUAUUGCACAAUGGAGGAAACUCUGAUGCAGCGAUGCCGCGUGAGGGAAGAAGGUUUUAGGAUUGUAAACCUCUGUCUUCAGGGACGAAAAAAGACGGUACCUGAGGAGGAAGCUCCGGCUAACUACGUGCCAGCAGCCGCGGUAAUACGUAGGGAGCGAGCGUUGUCCGGAAUUACUGGGUGUAAAGGGAGCGUAGGCGGGAUCGCAAGUCAGAUGUGAAAACUAUGGGCUUAACCCAUAAACUGCAUUUGAAACUGUGGUUCUUGAGUGAAGUAGAGGUAAGCGGAAUUCCUAGUGUAGCGGUGAAAUGCGUAGAUAUUAGGAGGAACAUCAGUGGCGAAGGCGGCUUACUGGGCUUUAACUGACGCUGGGGCUCGAAAGCGUGGGGAGCAAACAGGAUUAGAUACCCUGGUAGUCCACGCCGUAAACGAUGAUUACUAGGUGUGGGGGGACUGACCCCUUCCGUGCCGCAGCAAACGCAAUAAGUAAUCCACCUGGGGAGUACGACCGCAAGGUUGAAACUCAAAGGAAUUGACGGGGGCCCGCACAAGCAGUGGAGUAUGUGGAUUAAUUCGAAGCAACGCGAAGAACCUUACCAGGUCUUGACAUCGUAUGCAUAGCUCAGAGAUGAGUGAAAUCUCUUCGGAGACAUAUAGACAGGUGGUGCAUGGUUGUCGUCAGCUCGUGUCGUGAGAUGUUGGGUUAAGUCCCGCAACGAGCGCAACCCUUACUGUUAGUUGCUACGCAAGAGCACUCUAGCAGGACUGCCGUUGACAAAACGGAGGAAGGUGGGGAUGACGUCAAAUCAUCAUGCCCCUUAUGACCUGGGCCUCACACGUACUACAAUGGCUGUCAACAGAGGGAAGCAAAGCCGCGAGGUGGAGCGAACCCCUAAAAGCAGUCUUAGUUCGGAUUGUAGGCUGCAACCCGCCUACAUGAAGUCGGAAUUGCUAGUAAUCGCAGAUCAGCAUGCUGCGGUGAAUACGUUCCCGGGCCUUGUACACACCGCCCGUCACGCCAUGGGAGUCGGUAACACCCGAAGCCUGUAGUCUAACCGCAAGGAGGACGCAGUCGAAGGUGGGAUUGAUGACUGGGGUGAAGUCGUAACAAGGUA
rnacentral:rRNA from 1 species